UACGUAGGGUGCAAGCGUUAAUCGGAAUUACUGGGCGUAAAGCGUGCGCAGGCGGUUAUGUAAGACAGGUGUGAAAUCCCCGGGCUUAACCUGGGAACUGCAUUUGUGACUGCAUAGCUAGAGUACGGUAGAGGGGGAUGGAAUUCCGCGUGUAGCAGUGAAAUGCGUAGAUAUGCGGAGGAACACCGAUGGCGAAGGCAAUCCCCUGGACCUGUACUGACGCUCAUGC
rnacentral:rRNA from 1 species